UACGAAGGGGGCUAGCGUUGCUCGGAAUCACUGGGCGUAAAGCGCACGUAGGCGGAUUGUUAAGUCAGGGGUGAAAUCCUGGAGCUCAACUCCAGAACUGCCUUCGAUACUGGCGAUCUUGAGUCCGGAAGAGGUGAGUGGAACUCCCAGUGUAGAGGUGGAAUUCGUAGAUAUCGGGAAGAACACCCGUGGCGAAGGCGGUUCUCUGGGACGGUACUGACGCUGAGACGCGAAAGCGUGGGGAGCGAACAGG
rnacentral:rRNA from 1 species